UACAGAGGCCCCAAGCGUUACUGAGAAUCACUGGGCUUAAAGGGUGCGUAGGUGGCGCGUUAAGUCCGUUGUGAAAUCCCUGGGCUCAACCCAGGAAUUGCUUCGGAUACUGGCGUGCUUGAGGCCGGUAGGGGUCACUGGAACUGACGGUGGAGCGGUGAAAUGCGUAGAUAUCGUCAGGAACGCCGAUGGUGAAGACAGGUGACUGGGCCGGAACUGACACUGAGGCACGAAAGCGUGGGGAGCGAACGGG
rnacentral:rRNA from 1 species